CUCUCUCUCUGUAGCCCAAGAUGGCUUUGAACUCUGUGUAGCCUAGGGUGGCCUCCUGCCUUAGCCUCCCAAGGGCUUGGCUCACAGGUGGGUACUGCCAUGCCUGGCCCCUGUAUUUGGCUGUGCUUAGAAAAUCUCUGCCCUCCUCGAGCUCACUCAUGUUCACCCUCGUUUAUUUCUCUAUUGCUAGUUCACUUCGCAAGUCACAUCUUCUUUAGAAUACCCCGUCGACCACGAUCAUGCCAACAGUGACUACUCAUACCACCGGCAUUUACGGUUGUCUCUUCACGCUGUUGGUGGUUUCUGUGGCUGUUCAAAAGGUUUUUAAUAAGGGCUGUUGUGAGGAUCAAACAAGAUAAUGUAUGCUAACACAUGCUGCCGACACUCCGUGCUGGGUACAGAAGUCGGUCAAUCGGUCGGUCUAUCGUCCUUCACUCUCACGAUGGACCCAGGAGGGCGUGGCUGUCCUCAUUCUGCAAAUCGCACAAGUCGGGGCACAAGACAGAGAGGCCAGGUCACGUCUCUGCAGUUACACAGCUCAAAGGAAGCCUCGCCGUGAAAGUGAUGCUGCACUCCUGAAGGCGACCUUGGACCUGACCCAGUGGGCAGUGGGAUGGACCUGACCCCUGGAGAGCUUGUCUGUCCUCUGCAUGGGAAGCCUUACCUGGGCAGGAUGGCCGCAGCGACCCCACUGGGAGCGGAAGACUUUGGAGACACAGUUGUUGCCCUCCACUGCAGCUGUAGUUCCUGCCGGGCAGAAUGUCCAUAAGGGCUGACUUAUUCAGCUGUCCUACGAAACAAAAGCUUGGCAGUUAGUUCUGUGGGCAAAGAACGUAGACAAUAAUGUAUUCUAAGAAAAUUUCUGAGCUCUCCUAAUUUUUUGAAAGACGCAAAUGGACUUUUUCAAGUCGUAAUAACUUGGUGUUUUAAGAAACAAGGACAUGUUUUUAAAAAUAGACUUUUGUUCCUCUGGAACACACAUAGCUGAUUUUAUCAUGUUCUAAUCAUGAGGAUCAUCACUGCCUCGGACUGCUAGUGAACGCAGUCUACGUGUAUCCAUGAUUAUCUUCCUGUGACGACCUUGUCUUCUAAGGAGAGAAGAUGUCAGUAAGGAGCACCCAGCGUGGGACUUGGUCCUUCUCAUGUGGUGAAAGUUUUGGCUGUUCCUCUUUGACAAAGGCAGAUUCCACGGACACGUCUCAGUCAAGGAGCGCGGGUUUAAUUCAGUCUCUGUGGAGGAAGAUUUGAGCUGUUGUCAUCUGAGCAUAGCUGCUCCCCAGCCGACCUCCUAGGAGCAGGGAGACCCAUAAUGGAUCAUCUAAAACUGAAGACAGCAUCCUUCCCAGGACGUGAAGUCUGCGGUUGACCCUAUGUGUUAGGAACAUGGAAACCAAUGUCUGUGUUUCUGCUUGAGUCUGAGGAGCAUGGACACCAACUACCGGGAAUCAAACUCACGAUCUUGUGCUUGCCAGGAUUGGAGCCUCCGAGCUGACACAGGCAUGCUGUCCUGGUCAUGAAGCCUGUGGUUUUUGGUACGUUAGGACCCAGAGACCACCAACGAACCCUCCCGCACUGACCGAAGCAUUCCACCCCUCGUCAUGAGUUCUGUGGUUCCCCUGUGUGUUAGGAACGUGGAGAGCGGUAAUGGAUGCUACCAAGGUGUUGAAACAUAUUUUCCUGGACUUGAAGUCUGUGAUUCUCUCUGUGUGUUAGGAACAUGCAAACUGACAAUGGAUGCACUCAGCCCGACUCGCGGAUUACCCUCGGUGGAGUCUCCGCCAUUACCUGUGUGGUUAGGUACACGGGCACAGAUAAUGGACACCCUGGAGCAGAUUUAAAGAGUCUUUCUUAGUGACAGAAUGGGUACACCCCGGCUGACUGAAGCAUUAUGUCCUGGCCUUUGCUGUCUCUGACGGACUCCAUGUGUAGCAUCAUGAAGACCAUUGCUUGUGUUAGAUCACGUUCUCAUUGUCUGUUGAGAAGAAGUAUUUCAGAUAAGUAAGAGGACCCACCAUGGUCCAAUAAGGAAAAAUAAAACUGAUACGAAACAUCAUCUCGGUUAUUUUUCUGAUAAUCAGGAUGAUUCUUUAAAGAAGCAGGGACACUAAAGGAAGCAAUGAUUCUGUGUACGUUUCUGUGGAUAUUUGGACCCCUGACAAUCUGUAAUCUGGAUGUGAAUAUUGGAAUUUGACAUAAAUUGAUGUAGCAAAUGGUUCUGGAGAUCCAUGUAGGUAAUUAAAUCACUUGUUCUUCUGGA